UACAGAGGUCCCAAGCGUUGUUCGGAUUUACUGGGCGUAAAGGGUGCGUAGGCGGUAAGGAAAGUUCGGGGUGAAAUCUCCAGGCUCAACUUGGAAACUGCCCUGAAUACUUCCUUGCUAGAGGGUCGCAGAGGAGAUUGGAAUUCUCGGCGUAGCAGUGAAAUGCGUAGAUAUCGAGAGGAACAUCAGUGGCGAAAGCGAAUCUCUGGGCGACAUCUGACGCUGAGGCACGAAAGCCAGGGGAGCAAACGGG
rnacentral:rRNA from 1 species